rnacentral:lncRNA from 1 species
CCAGAAGGGCAAUUCAGCGCCGAGUGGGGGAAGGCUCAGCCUGGCUGCACGAAAAGCAAGGUUAAACCUGUCUCAGCAUCUGUGGGACACACUCGUGGAGCCGACCUCAUGCAGAGUGCUUGUCCCUACCCAUCUUUGUUGGUGAGGGCAGGCUACAGCUUCUCCCUGAUAAUUGCUCUCUCCAAGCUGUAACCCUAACUCAGGAUGGGGACUCAGAUUUCGGGAGGGAUUGCACUGAAUGGCUCAGCUCCUCCAYGCACCAGAGCGGCGCCGUACAUGUUUUGUGCUGAUCAGGAGAUAACCAGCUCCAAGAAAUCCCAGGAAAGCAUGCUUUUAUUGAACCAAAACAGCUCCAUUACAGGGCUGUCCUGCAAAGGAGAAASUGCCCCCACGGGUGAUCGGGUGCAGAAGCUCACUGGGGUCACACACCACCUCGUUCCCCCGGGAUGCACRGCACUGUGGCACCCAAGCAAGGCCACUCCAAAGGAGCUCUCCACAGCAUUUGCACGCCCACGGGCUCCCGGCUGAGCCCCCAGACUUCCCCUGCGGGGAAGGGGCUACGGCACGGGGCUGUGCGGCACCGCUAGUACCAGUUGGUGCUGGCGAUCAUGUAGCGCACGUCGUCCAGUGGAGCGCUCACCGUGCCCGGGCCGGUGGCGGGGUGGGUGCCGGGCUCCGCGGUGGGGUGGGUGCCAGGCCCCAUGGCAGGGUGGGGGCCAGGCUCCACGGUGGGGUGGGUGCCGGGCCCCACGGUGGGGUGGGGGCCAGGCCCUGUGGUGGGAUGUGUGCCGGGCUCCGCGGUGGGGUGGCGGCCAGGCCCCAUGGCGAGGUGGGGGCCAGGCCCGGUGGCGGGGUGGGUGCUGGGCCCUGCGGGGGCCGCAGUGGGGCCGGGCCCUGGCAGCGGGGCCCUGGCAGUGUCUGGGGAGGUGGACGUAUGACCCGUGGGCUCCACAGGCUGCCGGUCCGCCAUGGCCCUAGGGAGAAGAAGGGGGUCAGGGCCCUGGGGGGCACCGCCCCCCCCACCGC